GCUAGGUUAAUUAUUACGAUUAGUAAAAAUUAUCAGUGAAUCCAUUUAGCCCAUACUUUACUCAAACAAGUCAAAAUCAGAUGGAUGUGUUUGUUCUUUAAAGAACACUUUGGUUUGAUGAGCAUAGAUACUUGAAUGUAAUAAUAAGUAUAGCCUACUUUAAAUUAAUAUUCAUUUUAAAAAAAUAGAUUAACACGUGUAUUCGUUUAUCUGGAUUAUAGUGGAUAACGUGGAUUAUUUAAUUUCAAAUUGAGUAAACCAGAUUUACAAUAACAGAUCUAGAUCUAUAUAAACUUGCAGUCCUACUGAAUUGAAACAGAAAAGUUGACACGAAAAUACAGUACAUCUAUAAAUAUACGAUUCUUAUUUAUAUUAAUUGAACGAUUACGCUGUGUCGUACGACAUUUCUGGAAUUUAAAAAAAGUCUCGGAUUCUGCAAUCAGGAAUUGACCCCCCCUCGCUGUGUGCACGGAGUAAUCCGUAUCUUAAUUCUUCGUACCUUGCCCCCUUCAUAGAGCGAAGGGCGGAACGUAAUGGUUGGGAAUUCUUACUCGUAUUCUGUUCUUCUGGGAAGAAUGUGUUGGGCGGUGCAUUACCUGCUUUUACUGUUGCCCACGGCGCUUUCCUAUGUGGACAGUGGUCGCCCACUUCCCCCUGUCUAUUGGAACACUAGUAAUUCACUGUUCUCUGGCAGUCAGACCGGCUAUGAGCUUGAAGUCAACUUGGGUGACCAGUUGGAGAUUCUCUGCCCCUUUUAUCCGGACAAUUCAGUCCCGGUAAAUCGGGAGUACUAUCUCAUCUA